rnacentral:rRNA from 1 species
AUUGAACGCUGGCGGCAUGCCUUACACAUGCAAGUCGAACGGCAGCACGGGGGGUAACCCCUGGUGGCGAGUGGCGAACGGGUGAGUAAUAUAUCGGAACGUGUCCUGUAGCGGGGGAUAACCUAUCGAAAGAUGGACUAAUACCGCAUACGACCUACGGGUGAAAGCGGAGGACCGCAAGGCUUCGCACUAUAGGAGCGGCCGAUAUCGGAUUAGCUAGUUGGCGGGGUAACGGCCCACCAAGGCGACGAUCCGUAGCCGGUCUGAGAGGACGAUCAGCCACACUGGAACUGAGACACGGUCCAGACUCCUACGGGAGGCAGCAGUGGGGAAUUUUGGACAAUGGGCGCAAGCCUGAUCCAGCCAUGCCGCGUGAGUGAAGAAGGCCUUCGGGUUGUAAAGCUCUUUCGGCGGGGACGAAACGGUUCGUGCUAAUACCACGGACUACUGACGGUACCCGCAGAAGAAGCACCGGCUAACUACGUG